GACGAACGCUGGCGGCGUGCUUAACACAUGCAAGUCGAACGGAAAGGCCCUGCUUUUGUGGGGUGCUCGAGUGGCGAACGGGUGAUUAACACGUGAGUAACCUGCCCUUGACUUUGGGAUAACUUCAGGAAACUGGGGCUAAUACCGGAUAUGAGCUCCUGCUGCAUGGUGGGGGUUGUAAAGUUUCGGCGGUUGGGGAUGGACUCGCGGCUUAUCAGCUUGUUGGUGGGGUAGUGGCUUACCAAGGCUUUGACGGGUAGCCGGCCUGAGAGGGUGACCGGCCACAUUGGGACUGAGAUACGGCCCAGACUCCUACGGGAGGCAGCAGUGGGGAAUAUUGCACAAUGGGCGGAAGCCUGAUGCAGCAACGCCGCGUGCGGGAUGACGGCCUUCGGGUUGUAAACCGCUUUCGCCAGUGACGAAGCGUGAGUGACGGUAAUGGGUAAAGAAGCACCGGCUAACUACGUG
rnacentral:rRNA from 1 species